rnacentral:lncRNA from 1 species
CUGGCUAGAUUUGAAACCCAAUGGAUCACACACUUUGAGAUUUAAUCUUGAUCUGAUUUAAUUAAGAUUUAAUAUAAAUCUUAGGGGUUAACUUGAUAUGCUAGCAUAUUGUGUUAACCCAAGUUCCCAAUUAGGUUAAAUUCAAAGUGUUUGAGCUAAACUGAAACUGUUGCCUUUGACCUGAUUGGAUUGGGUCUAUUUUAAUUG